rnacentral:rRNA from 1 species
UCAGGAUGAACGCUAGCGGCAGGCCUAUACAUGCAAGUCGAACGGGAGUCCCCCUCGGGGGACGAGAGUGGCGCACGGGUGCGUAACGCGUAUGCGAACCAGCCCGUUCCGCCGGAUAGCCGUUGGAAACGGCGGAUAAUCCGGCAUGGUCCCUUUGGGGGGCAUCCCCCGAGGGCAAAGGGAGACCGGACGGACGGGCAUGCGUGCCAUUAGCUAGUCGGCGGGGUGAGGCCCACCGAGGCGACGAUGGCUAGGGGAUCUGAGAGGACGGUCCCCCACACUGGUACUGAGACACGGACCAGACUCCUGCGGGAGGCAGCAGUAAGGGAUAUUGGGCAAUGGGGGCAACCCUGACCCAGCCAUGCCCGCGUGAGGGAAGUAGGCCUUAGUGGUCGUGAACCUCUUUUGCCGGGGGACAAUGCCGCGGUCGUGAACCGCGGUUGAGGGUACCCGGCGAAUAAGCAUCGGCUAACUCCGUGCCAGCCGCGGC